GAUGAACGCUGGCGGCGUGCCUAAUACAUGCAAGUCGAGCGAACAGACGAGGAGCUUGCUCCUCUGACGUUAGCGGCGGACGGGUGAGUAACACGUGGAUAACCUACCUAUAAGACUGGGAUAACUUCGGGAAACCGGAGCUAAUACCGGAUAAUAUAUUGAACCGCAUGGUUCAAUAGUGAAAGACGGUUUUGCUGUCACUUAUAGAUGGAUCCGCGACGCAUUAGCUAGUUGGUAAGGUAACGGCUUACCAAGGCAACGAUGCGUAGCCGACCUGAGAGGGUGAUCGGCCACACUGGAACUGAGACACGGUCCAGACUCCUACGGGAGGCAGCAGUAGGGAAUCUUCCGCAAAGGGCGAAAGCCUGACGGAGCAACGCCGCGUGAGUGAUGAAGGUCUUCGGAUCGUAAAACUCUGUUAUUAGGGAAGAACAAAUGUGUAAGUAACUAUGCACGUCUUGACGGUACCUAAUCAGAAAGCCACGGCUAACUACGUG
rnacentral:rRNA from 1 species